CCAGAAAGAGUCUCUGUCAGUUUUUGGGCUAAAAUGUUUGUGAGUUGUUUUCUCAGUCAAACACACACAUACACACACACACAUACACACACACACGUUUAGGAUCAUAUUUAGGAUCGCUUUCUCAGUCCAAAGGUGAUGCUUAGCCUGGCAGAUGGAUCACAACAAGAAGGCAUUGUGCGCAGAGUUCAGGAAGAUCCUGUAUCUGAGAUGUGGAAAUGAAGAAUGGAGAAACAGAUGGUGGGUGGUGAGCGUAACUCCUACUGUCAGUCUUCACCUCAGAUGGCCUCACAGACGCUGGCCUUAAUUUUAUACAGAGUACAGACACUGGCUUCAGUUGCGGGAAUGAGCACAGGGUGGAUAGUAUUCGUCUAACUGUCUGUAUCAUUUAUUUUACUGUAUGUAUUAUGGCAAGCCCU